rnacentral:rRNA from 1 species
AGAGUUUGAUCAUGGCUCAGGACGAACGCUGGCGGCGUGCUUAACACAUGCAAGUCGAACGGAAAGGCCCUUUCGGGGGUACUCGAGUGGCGAACGGGUGAGUAACACGUGGGUGAUCUGCCCUGCACUUCGGGAUAAGCUUGGGAAACUGGGUCUAAUACCGGAUAGGACUGCGAAUCGCAUGGUUUGUGGUGGAAAGAUUUAUCGGUGUGGGAUGGGCCCGCGGCCUAUCAGCUUGUUGGUGGGGUGAUGGCCUACCAAGGCGACGACGGGUAGCCGGCCUGAGAGGGUGUCCGGCCACACUGGGACUGAGAUACGGCCCAGACUCCUACGGGAGGCAGCAGUGGGGAAUAUUGCACAAUGGGCGCAAGCCUGAUGCAGCGACGCCGCGUGGGGGAUGACGGCCUUCGGGUUGUAAACCUCUUUCACCAUCGGCGAAGCCUCAUGUUUUUGCGUGGGGUGACGGUAGGUGGAGAAGAAGCACCGGCCAACUACGUGCCAGCAGCCGCGGUAAUACGUAGGGUGCGAGCGUUGUCCGGAAUUACUGGGCGUAAAGAGCUCGUAGGUGGUUUGUCGCGUUGUCCGUGAAAUUCCCUGGCUUAACUGGGGGCGUGCGGGCGAUACGGGCAGACUGGAGUACUGCAGGGGAGACUGGAAUUCCUGGUGUAGCGGUGGAAUGCGCAGAUAUCAGGAGGAACACCGGUGGCGAAGGCGGGUCUCUGGGCAGUAACUGACGCUGAGGAGCGAAAGCGUGGGGAGCGAACAGGAUUAGAUACCCCGGUAGUCC